rnacentral:rRNA from 1 species
GUUAAGGCUCCCAGUAGACGACUGGGUUGAUAGGCCAGAUCUGGAAGCCCGGUAACGGGUGGAGGUGACUGGUACUAAUAGGCCGAGGGCUUGUCCUCAGUUG